UACGGAGGGUGCAAGCGUUAAUCGGAAUUACUGGGCGUAAAGCGUGCGUAGGCGGUUCGUUAAGUCUGUUGUGAAAGCCCCGGGCUCAACCUGGGAAUGGCAAUGGAUACUGGCGAGCUAGAGUGUGUCAGAGGAUGGUGGAAUUCCCGGUGUAGCGGUGAAAAUGCGUAGAGAUCGGGGAGGAACAUCAGUGGCGAAGGCGGCC
rnacentral:rRNA from 1 species